rnacentral:rRNA from 1 species
GAUCAUGGCUCAGGACGAACGCUGGCGGCGUGCCUAAUACAUGCAAGUCGAGCGGACCGAUGGGAGCUUGCUCCCUUAGGUCAGCGGCGGACGGGUGAGUAACACGUGGGUAACCUGCCUGUAAGACUGGGAUAACUCCGGGAAACCGGGGCUAAUACCGGAUGCUUGAUUGAACCGCAUGGUUCAAUCAUAAAAGGUGGCUUUUAGCUACCACUUACAGAUGGACCCGCGGCGCAUUAGCUAGUUGGUGAGGUAACGGCUCACCAGGGCGACGAUGCGUAGCCGACCUGAGAGGGUGAUCGGCCACACUGGGACUGAGACACGGCCCAGACUCCUACGGGAGGCAGCAGUAGGGAAUCUUCCGCAAUGGACGAAAGUCUGACGGAGCAACGCCGCCGUGAGUGAUGAAGGUUUUCGGAUCGUAAAACUCUGUUGUUAGGGAAGAACAAGUACCGUUCGAAUAGGGCGGUACCUUGACGGUACCUAACCAGAAAGCCACGGCUAACUACGUGCCAGCAGCCGC